GGCUUGGUGCUUGCACUGGGUGGAUGAGUGGCGAACGGGUGAGUAAUACGUGAGUAACCUGCCCUUGACUCUGGGAUAAGCCUGGGAAACUGGGUCUAAUACUGGAUACGACAUGUCACCGCAUGGUGGUGUGUGGAAAGGGUUUUACUGGUUUUGGAUGGGCUCACGGCCUAUCAGCUUGUUGGUGGGGUAAUGGCUCACCAAGGCGACGACGGGUAGCCGGCCUGAGAGGGUGACCGGCCACACUGGGACUGAGACACGGCCCAGACUCCUACGGGAGGCAGCAGUGGGGAAUAUUGCACAAUGGGCGGAAGCCUGAUGCAGCGACGCCGCGUGAGGGAUGACGGCCUUCGGGUUGUAAACCUCUUUCAGCACGGAAGAAGCGAAAGUGACGGUACGUGCAGAAGAAGCGCCGGCUUACUACGUGCCAACAGCCGCGGUAAUACGUAGGGCGCAAGCGUUGUCCGGAAUUAUUGGGCGUAAAGAGCUCGUAGGCGGUUUGUCGCGUCUGCUGUGAAAGCCCGGGGCUUAACCCCGGGUGUGCAGUGGGUACGGGCAGACUUGAGUGCAGUAGGGGAGACUGGAAUUCCUGGUGUAGCGGUGAAAUGCGCAGAUAUCAGGAGGAACACCGAUGGCGAAGGCAGGUCUCUGGGCUGUUACUGACGCUGAGGAGCGAAAGCAUGGGGGAGCGAACGGAUUAGAUACCCUGGUAGUCCAUGCCCGUAACGUUGGGCACUAGGUGUGGGGGAACA
rnacentral:rRNA from 1 species